rnacentral:snRNA from 1 species
GGAUAUAAGGAUGAUCAGAGUGUGACAUCUGUCAUCCUGUGGGUCACUAAGGUUGUUUCAGCUGGCAUUGCUGGCUAGGCUAGCAUUCCCUUCCUCCCUCUGCUCCACAUGCAUCUACCUCCCUCCUCAAAGCUACCUUUUCCCAAACAGAGGAGAGGAGCUAUCUUCAGUCAAGGGCAUACAAGUAGCUCCACUCUCCAAUGCUGGCUAGAACUGCCAAAUAUGUUCUCAAAUAAAGAAGAGUGAAUGGCAGUAUAUGAGAAAUGUUCACCAUCU